rnacentral:rRNA from 1 species
UGGGGAAUAUUGGACAAUGGGCGAAAGCCUGAUCCAGCCAUGCCGCGUGUGUGAAGAAGGUCUUCGGAUUGUAAAGCACUUUAAGUUGGGAGGAAGGGCAGUAAGCGAAUACCUUGCUGUUUUGACGUUACCGACAGAAUAAGCACCGGCUAACUCUGUGCCAGCAGCCGCGGUAAUACAGAGGGUGCAAGCGUUAAUCGGAAUUACUGGGCGUAAAGCGCGCGUAGGUGGUUCGUUAAGUUGAAUGUGAAAGCCCCGGGCCCAACCUGGGAACUGCAUCCAAAACUGGCGAGCUAGAGUAGGGCAGAGGGUGGUGGAAUUUCCUGUGUAGCGGUGAAAUGCGUAGAUAUAGGAAGGAACACCAGUGGCGAAGGCGACCACCUGGGCUCAUACUGACACUGAGGUGCGAAAGCGUGGGGAGCAAACAGG